GGCAGGUGACAUAUGGUGCAACUUUCUGCUGCUGCAAGCAGAGAAAGUCAGAUGCAGCCCACGGAAAUACUGAGUUAGGAAGGUGUGGCUUUCUGAUGGUUCACACAGGUCCUCAGGCUGAAAUCUGAAAGACAGAGCUGCCUCAGCUUCACCCAUCUCCUUCUCUCGUGGAAAAUAAAGUGGCUGCAGAGGGCAUUUUCUUGGGACUUUUUCUCAUAACAAAACCACGGCAUUUCCUGCUGCAUUCCCUGAGAUAAGAGCAUAUGGAUCUGAGAGAAAUGAAGGGGAAGUAAAAGAACUGCAGCUGAUGUAUUUGUCCUCUACUGAUGGAAGUCAAGAAAGUUUAUCCAGUAACACUUCAAGCAUUUGGGAGUGCAAACAAAAAAGUGAACUGCUGUCUUCAAAUACCACUACUUUUUUCUUUUGGCAGUUAGCAGGUUUAGAAAAGCCUCUGUGAUUCUCAGCUAGAAGUAAAGUUUCAUGUGCGUUAUAUUAAGUCGUUAAUUGUGUCGUUCAUUUUACAGCCUUUCCCUGAAUGGCCCGAUGGAAAUGAAUGGAUUUUAAUCUAGAGGAGGAAAAAAAAGAAGGAGUUAAAUGUUUGAAAGGUUGUUCUUUUUCAGCGCUCGCAGUUCAGAACAUAAGUUGCGUGUUUAAAACAAACAAAAUGUCUUUCCUGGAAUUAUGACCUGGCCAAUUUGUAGUUUGGUAUUCCCUGCCAGGAUGUGGUAGCUUGCUAUGUGACUGAUGGAGGGUUUAAAGGGGCGAUUUGCUGUUUUGAAGAAGCAAAGGAAGGCAAUGGGUCUGUAGGAGAAGAUGAAAGUGAAAAGUGUUCUCACUAGUUUGGCCAUUGACAUGUAUUCAGUCAUUCAUUAAAGCUUAUUCAUGAAAUUCAUUAUUCAUUAAGGAACUUUUGGGGAGUGGAAAGAGCCAAACAGCAGCAGUCAUUAUUUACUCUAGCAAUUCCAUCACGGAGUUGCAUCGUGAGGCCGGAUUCUUCUCUGCAUUCAGCAGUUCAGUUUCACUGACAUCAUGGAAUGGAUACCGAUUUAGGACUGAUCUGUGGCAGAGCAGAAUCCAGCCCGUACUGCUUUUCUGAGAGGGUGCCUUGGGCACUUUCUUCGCUGCUUUAUUGCUGGCUAGGUUUCAGGAUGCUUUAAAAUGGAUAAAAAAUUAAAGAAGUAUGACAAAUGGAUCUUUUCCCAGUGUGAUGUUCAACUGUGUCAUUCCAUUGAGAUAGUUAGUAGGGAAUGGAUGUGAAAAGCAUUCACAUUAAUAAUUAGCAGUUCAUUUUAAGAGGUUUAUAUAUAGAUAUAUAUAUAUUAUUUUUUCCUACAAUCCUGCCAGUUUUUAAGCAAACAAUUUAAAUGUUCAGUCCUCACAUAAAAGAUUCAGGGUGACAGCAGGGGACAGGGAGAGAUCACACCAAAGCUCUUAUUAUGUUCAUGUGAUAUACAGUGCAUAAUAUCACAGUAGUCAGUAAUGGGAAAGAACUAGUAAAUCACUGAAUUCAUGCCUUUGCAAGGAGAACUGCAUUAGGUAAUGAUCAUCCUUCAUAGCAGCACUGAAAUUCUUCUUCCAAACUGUGAUUUUCAGCUGAAUCUCACUGAUGGAGCAGCACACAUGCAGCUGGAUGAGGGACUUAACAUCUAUUAGCUGCUGCACAGAAUUGCCUGGGGGCUCUCUGCCUAGGGGCAAGUGGAAAGCUUUGGGGAUUUCGGGCAGAAUUUCUGUAACUCAUUUCCAGUGGCAUUACUUGUCCUAGAAAAACUACGUGUUAUUUUAUGAUUGAGGUCCUCACUGCAGAGCUCAGAGACAGAAUAUUCCUUUCUAUAUUGAUGAUCAGAAGUCAGCUUUCAAGGCAUUCUUUACCUGUGCCCUGAUUCAGUAGUGUUGCAUCACAGAGAGAGUGGCUCUGGCUAGAAGCAAAGUCAUGGCACAGCUGCUCUGCGGGUCUUUGACUUUCCCCAUUCCUGAUGUGAGUUGAAGGAGCUGGCACUAAGAUGUGGAACCAGUCACAGUGCCUUUGAGGUUGAGUGUAGGUACCGCUCCAAAAGUCAACUAAACCACGUGGUAUGACAGAGGCAUGACCUGAACUUGAGCUGUUGUUGGGUAUCUUCAUUUGCUUCCUUAAAAAUCCUCCUGCCCUGGGACCUUGGGCUCUCCUUGUUGUGCGGGUUGAUGAUGCAAGUCCCAAGGAAACAGCCAUGUGGAAAAACUGCAGCUCACAGUCAUGGGACCAUGUUCUCUGAUGACAGAGUGUGUGGAGUUAUUCUAGCUGGCAAUCUGACCUAUUGAAUUUCCAGUUCCUUUUGUGGGAAUAACUCAGUGCAUGAUUUGAUCUGAAUUACUAGGGCAGGGCAAGCCAGCAAGAUUUCAGGCCUCUAAUUGGCAUUAGAAUGUCUUUAGAAAUUCAGCCUCUGCCAUUUUAUCUUCUGAUCAUCUUUCAGGCUGCACAGCUGCCUCUUGCUGUGACUCCUGCACAAAAUCCACAGUCUCCAUUGCCACGCUCUUUCCCUGAUUAAGUGUUUAGAGCCUACCCUAGCCCCCUCCCCCCCCGGUACACCCCAUAGUAAAGCUGGCAGCUUCCUUCUGGGGUGGGCUGUGUGAGAUCCAGAAGGGGAACUAGCUCUACUUCAAAGCAGGGAAAGCUCCUUGCUGCUAUAGUGCUCCCAGAGGAAGAGGGAAGGAGAGAAGCUCAGCUCCCUGGUUGUCUGUGUCUGGUUCACACUCAGUGUGGAUACUGAGUAUGGUGACAAAAUAUUAGCUGGGCAUAUGUCAUAGGCAGCUGUGAAGACUGGAAAAAUAAGACUGCCCCGUGCUCCUUGAGAAUGCAGAGAUACAGAGAAGACAUCAUGAGUUCCUAGCAGGUUUUUGUCCCAGGCUGCAGAAAAUGAAAGAGGAAGCAUCAGCAAUAGCUCUGUUAGCCAUUCUUUAGAGUCACAUGGGAAAUCUAGCACAUUGCCAUGGGUCUGGGUAAACAGGAAGCCCAAAUCAGCCCAUUCAGGCUGCUAGCUGUGCUUGGCGCUGGCUCCUGGAUAUAUCUGGAUGUAUACCAAUGGCAGACUGGAAGAACCCCAUGCAGAAUCCUAGAAAUGUCUCAGAAGCAUUUCCAGUCCUCGGAAAAAUGACACAUACAGAAGGUAUCUGCCCCACUGUUGUGUAAUCAAGGGAAGCUGGAGAAACAAUAGAUUGGUAUGCUGCCAGACUGCACAGAAAAUGGCUGACUCAUGUCAGUAUGAAAUCUUAAGACCUGAAGUAAUGAGUGGUAGGCUUGUGAGUGGGAAAAAAAGGGCAAUGAGACUGCUGAAAGAGAAGCUGCCCUCACUGCUGGUAAAUUACAGGUGUGUCUAAAGCUGCUGCAAAGGCGCAGCUGAAAACAGAGCAGAAGAGGAGCUGGCAUAGUCAGGUAGAACAGAGAAGCAUAAAACACCACCAAAAGCAAAUGCAUAAAUAAGAAGCAGAGAACAUCAGGGGAGAGUUUUGGUGCUGUUAGAAAAAUGUGCACGGCAUAAGAAAAUUUCCGUGGUGAUGACAUUAAUACUGUGCAAAAGGGCAAAAAUAAAACUCCGAGCUGCAUGCCAAGAGGCAGCAGCAGCACACAGUCAGGAGAAUGAAUGCUAGGGAGACAGUAGGACAUGACUAAAUGUGUUAGGCUGCAAAGCCUUCCUUAAAACUAUGUCAGAGACGGAAAGGAAUCACAACCAUGCAAAGCUGAACUAAAGCAAUGCGAUGUCUCCAUGCCAUUAGGCAGAGUAAAUUGCAAGUCAAAUCAGUGUUGCUGGCAGCACCAACUCUUUUGCUUUAAGCUGCACACAGCGGAUCCCUCAUCACACAGGUGCUCUAAGUCUGAAGCAAACAAUUCAUGCAGUCAAGGUCUACGUUGCUACUUCUGAGGUCCCGAAUGAACGGCAGUGAAUAAAUAUUGCCGAGUCUUAAUGGAAAGUCAUGUCUUACCCAAGUCGCAUGCUUUUCACCAGAAAGAAAAGUGGAAGGCACAUGUCAGUGCCAACAGCACCAUCUUCUGUCUGCAGAGGUUAUGCAGCCUUCACUCACGCUUCCCUGAGUCCUCCAGAGAUGGGGCCGGUUGAGACUCCUGGAUCUACUGCUGGAUGUUGAGCUCUUCCUUUCGCUAGUGCUUUCGCUUCUACCCAACUUGUUCAGCUUCAUCUAAACUUAGAAGAUAUGUACACAGGUCCCACUCACGAAGAGCUCCAAGCAUGGCAUCCACCCAGCAGGAAGCUGUGUCCUCUGCAUCCCCUGCAGCCUCUCUGUCCACAGAAACCAACGUGGCUUCCCAGACAGAGCUCCCAGGGAACAUGCAGCCACUCAGGUGUAGGGUUGCAGAGAGUGCCUGAACUCUGGAACUCAAUGGACAAGCAAAUGUGGAUGAAGGUCCAUCCAGGUUGGAGGGGUCACUUAUGGUCACUUUCGUCAAGAAAAACAGAAAGGCAGUUGUUAGAGAAACACAGAAUAUAUCAAUCUGAAAGAGGAUCACCAGGAUCACUGAGUCCAACUGCCAGCUCCAAACAGAAACACCCAAAACUCAAACCCUAUGUCUGAGAGAAUUGCUCAAAUGCUCCUUGAACUCUAGCAGCCUGGGGCCAUGGCCACUUCCCUGGGGACCACUCCUGCUGCAGUUGUUAACAUACUGUUAAUACUAAGCAUAAAUUUUGCUAUUUAUGUACCAACUAGCUCAUUACAUAUUAAUGAAUGCCUUCUGGGUGUAUUCAGUGCUAGUCAGACAGGGAUAAUCUUUCUUCCCAUGACCCCUACUGUUCCUUUCUUUUUCUUGACUUCAUAUCUACCUUCCUGAUUUUUUUUCCCUUUAGCUUUCUGCAUCACGUUCACAUACUCCCUAGUCUAACCUCUCAUGAGCUGAAUUCCUCAUCCACUUGUCUGAUCUGACAAUCUGCAGUAGUGCAGUUCAAAUGUAAAUGCUGUGUUUCAGUUGAUAAGAUUUUGCACCCGUUGUGAUAAAAAUAAAGGCAAGGUGGAAUUCAGACAAUAAUGGAGAAAAACAAAGCACCUGAUAUGUUAUUGUUUUGAUUGUACACACCUUUAAAGCUUAAUUUGGCUAGGUCCUGCAUGUGCCUGGAACUUUUGGGGACUUAUUCAAGCCUGUUUAAAAGAAGUGCCAACAAUACAUCUUGACUGCAUGCUUUAGGUAACAAAUGGAAGAAUUACUAAAGACAUCAGAGUGACUGGAUAAGCAAACAAAACAUGCUAUAGCAUAGAAGAGUUCUCAGCUGGUAGCAUUCUGUUCAGUUAUUUCAUACAUCCUGUCAUUCCUCUUCUGCAAAGUGUUUUUGUGUGAGUGAAACAAGGUACAGUGUUUUACUUCACAUUUAAUUGUAUCACUUUGAAUUGUUUUCUUGAUCUUUUUCUUGAGUAGUUAUUUUAUUUGGAACGACAUACACGGCAAAGUGUUAAACCUAAAAGGAAACCUUAUUAACAAGCAGGAUUAAAAGUUGUUCCUUUUCCCACACAGGUAGACUUGUUGUGUUCUGCCAUGGUCAUGUGGACAGGUCUCAGCAACUAGAGAAUGCCUGUUUUAUAAAUGAUCGUUUGAAGCUGGCAGCCCAUGGCUUCAACAGCUAUGCUCUCUGUUGGAUAAAAAACUGGCUGGAGGACCAAGCCCAGAGAGCAGGGGUGGAUGGAGUUAAAUCCAGCAGGCAACCUGUCACGAGUGGUGUUCCACAAGGGUCCGUCUUGGGGCCUGUCCUGUUUAAGAUCGUUGCUGAUGAUCUCAACAAGGGGAUUAAGUGAA